GUACCAGAUGUGAGUGCCCAGCGGAUCGCACGAGUCCGAGUUUCCCGGGAAUGAACCUAGGAAGCCUGGUGCCCUUCUCGAGUCCCACAGGAUAUGGAACAACUCGCCAGCACCUUGUACUCAGAAUAACUGCCCUGGUUCUAUUGAAGGAGGAUAUCCAGAAGCAAGGCCAAUGCAGUGCAGCGGCUCUCCAAUCUAAGCACACAUCAUUACCUGGAGGGCUGGCUGAGCCCCACUCAGCAUCUGACUCAUUGGGCUGAGGCUUGAGAAUUUGCAGCUUUUCUAACAUUUGCAUCUUGCAGAUGUUAUUGAUGCUGCUGUCUUUGGGUAUUUUGAUACCUACUGUGUAGUAAUUGAGGGAUGUAUAGACCCUGGAGUUAAAUGGGACUUGCUUUAAAUCUCACCUCUGCUAUUUGACAAUGUGGCACCUCUUUGAGCAUCUGUUAAAUUGCUAAUAGUGGCCAAUUGUGAGAAUUAGAGAACACAAAUAUCACUACACGAGGAUGUGAAAAAGCACACAGUAGAAAGGCAAGAAAGCAGAAGAAAAAGUAUUUCCAAUAAAAUACUAUUCUUUAAAGAAAAUCAGUAGAACGCAAGCUACCCCAAUAGAAAAACUGGAAAUAUAUGCAGGGCACGAACUGGUGCGAGAUCAAAGGCUAGAAAUGACCAAAAACACAUGACAAGGUCUUAAACUUACUAGUAAUUAAAGAAAUAGAAAUUAACCACCCAUCAGCAUUGUUUGCCUAUGGAACUAGCAGGAAUGUUUUAAAAAAUGAAAACAUCUCAUGCUGAAAACGCCGUGGGGAAAGAGGCCCUAUAGUAUAUCCUCCUGGUUGGAUUAUGAAUUAUGGGUCUUUCAAAAGGAAAAUCUAUCAAAAAGCCUUAUAAUUUGUAUAUGCUCUUUAAACUUGGCCAUGCCACUUUUAAAAAUUUAUCUGGGAGUUCCCGUCGUGGCGCAGUGGUCAACGAAUCCGACUAGGAACCAUGAGGUUGCGGGU